GGUUACCUAGAGACCAGGCCAGAACCAGCUCCCUCUCAUGCAGAGAUUCUGUAACCUCACAAAAGCGUCCCCAUAAACAGAUUGCUUGUCACCAGGGGGUGGGGGUGUGUGGCGGGGUGGAACCCAGUUUGGAGCUGAUGCAAGCUGACCUGCAGAGUCUGGGUUCCCGCUUUCAAAGGCUCCAUUGCUGGGCUCUACACCCACCUGCCGAGCUGUCAGGGUUGGGCGGGACAAGAAAUUACCUCUAGUCAAGGAAGUCCUGAGGCCGUGGCUCAGCAUUUUCCAUUUUCUCAGCGGUGGGGUGGCGGGUUGUGUUCAGGUCUAGAAGUGAUGUCACAGCCAGCCCCGUGAAGUGAUGUAACCUGUACAUGUUGAAAGACUCAAGACCGGGCGGCUAUUUUGAGACUCUCGUGUUUCUUCCUUCCUCCCUGGAGACAAGUGGGUGACUGUGGAGGGCUCACAAAACUGCUCCGGGGGUAAAGCAGUUUUCGUCGUGUGUUACAGUGAAAAAUCUUAAGGCUAGAGAACUGAAGCCAUAAAAACGGGAGUGCUUGCGAAAUGCUUUCUAAAUUGAAGGUGGGCACUUACAUAUCCACACGUGGCAAGUGUAUGGACUGGAGCCCCCCCCCCAUAACAUGCAUGAAAAAAAGAUUUCACUGCGUUCUCCGGUUAUACCCCUUUCCCUGGGACUGGUUGUUAAAGUCUGCCUGUACUCCAGCAGGUGCUUCCUAGAGAACAUGGUCCCUUUGUUGUAGCUCUGUUUGUUGUAUGCUUUUGAGAUUCCCUUUGAGGUCAAAAAUGAUAUUGUAUUCCAGAUCCGACUGCCUCCACCUUCCAAGUGCUGGGGAUUACAGGCUUGUGCUGCUUUGACUUUCAGGAUUCCGUUGUUUUGUUUUGUUUUUGGAAAUGGGGGCAAAGAGUCUGUGUUCCGAGGAGAUCCUUAACAAGGCCUGUCAGUGCUUAGCAGAUAUGUUCCAUGACUGCAUGAACGAAGCUGGAAGCUCUGGGGUUUUUGUUUUUGGUUUGUUUAUCUAUUUGAACUUUAUGACUCCAAACAAGAAAUAGGGAGCACAAGGAGGAUCUUUAGUCCUGAGGAUCCUGGGCUAGGGAAAUGUUGAGAAGUUUGAAGGGAAGGUUAGGAAAUAUUUUUGAGAGCAUAGACAUGUCUCAAGUGUUUCCUGAAAUGACCCAAAGGAGAGGGGAGCACUCAGGUGAAGGAGUCACUCUUUCCAGCUUUGGGGGUGGUUAGUUCUGGCUAAUGUGAAUCAUGUUUUCUGUCAAUAACGAGUGUGUCCAGUCCAUCAUUCUUUAAGCAUGCCAUGGAAACAGGAUGACCAGAGCAAUGGCUGUGCAUAGUAAGCAUCAUUGCCUCCUAUACGCUGCUCCAUAUGUCCAAUCAUCAGUGUUUCUCCAUGGUGAUUGUUACUUGAGGCUUAUCUUGUACUUCUAUUUUUUUUUCUGAGGCCUGGAAUAUGUGAAUUUCUUUAUAUACACACACACACACACACACAUACACACACAAUCAGUUACGAAGCAAAUGAACAUGAGAUGGAAAAGGAUGCCCUGCCUCAAGGAUAACUGGGCAAUGAUGCAUUGAUACCAUCAAGUGGUGGCCUGCUUGGUCAUGAGCAGGCAAAUAUUAAUGGUCCAGAGGAGAUUGCUACAGGCAAGAGUAGGCUGUUCCUGCCAGGUGUGGUGGGUGGCACACACCAGCCAUCUUAGCACUUGUUUCCUUCCCCAACUCCUUUAAGCAGAAGAGAGGCUGCCGUUUAAGUUUUGGUUAACUAGCCAUGAGACCCAAGUUUUCUGUAACGUUUCAACUGGAAGAAGAGGACAUACGUCCUUAAACAGAGAAGGCCUGCUGAGAGCGCAGCCAUCCUGUUCUCGUGGAGGAGCUGAAGAUGCUGAAUCCUGGAAAGACUCCAGGACACGACGGUUUGGAUAGUGUGAAAAGGUUCUAAACGGGAUCAAACACUUGCUGGGGGAUUGUGUUAGUUGCUUUUCAAGGUUGCAAUGCCAAAAUACCUGACAAGGCAAUUUAAGAAAGAGUUCGUUUGGGCUCCAGGUUAAGGGUGCAGUCCGUCCCGGCAGGGAGGCGUGUUAGUGGGAGCACUCACCGCGAAUCACAUGGCACCUGCAGAUAGGAAACGGAGUGAUGAGCGCUGCAGCUCAGCUCGCCUUUCUCUUUAUAGUUAGUCCACAAUCCUAGCCCAUGAAAUGGUGCUGCCCACACUCAUGGUAUGUCUUCCCUCCUCAGUUCAACAUUUUUGGGAAUCAUAGGCACGUUCAGAGGUGCGUUUCCGUGGUUAUUCUAAAUAAAGUCAAGUCGACAAUGAAGAUACAGCAUCCUAGGAAACCUCACACACCGGAGUCCUAUACAGGUCCUCCUUUCCCAUCUUCUUCUCUGCCUUUCCCGUGGGGGGAGGGAGUCACUGACAGAUUUCAGAAGGAUACACACAGAAUGGCAAUGGAGAAAGAGGACAUCUGCCUACCCAGCCAGAUCAGCUCCGUCAACCUUUGGAAACAACGGGAUGACGAAUGUCAUAGUCCAAACACCUCACAUUUGAGAGAACUAUAUUUCAAACAACUUCAGUGGGGUUUAGAAGAGAUUGUUGAGCUCAUAGCAAAAACUCUUGAGAAACAAAUCAUAAGAGAGAAGUUUUAAUAUUAGAAGCUUGCAUCAAUAUUUAGGUGUUUUGCUUUCCUGCAUGUAUGUCUGUCACAUUUAUUCCUGGUACCCGAGAAGGCCAAGAAAAGGGGGUGAGAUCCCCUGGAAUUAGAGUUAUAGAAGGUUGUGAGCCACCAUGAGGUUGCUGGGAACUGAAUCUGGGUUCUCUGCAGCAGCAGCCAGAGCUCUUAACCACGGAGCCAUCUCUCCAGCCCUGCACGCCAUUUUGUUUUGUAAUGUGCAUUGAUGUUUUUGCCUGUAUGUAUGUCUGUUUGAGCGCUGAAUUCUCUGGAAGUGGAGUUACAGACAGUUAGGAGCCGUUCUAUGGGAGCUGGGAAUUGAACCUGGGUCCUUUGGAGGAGACACUAGCGCUCAGGACAGGGCCUUACUAUGUAGCCAGAUUGUCCUUUAUCUUGCAAUCCUUCUGUCUCAGCCUUCCAAUUACUAGAAGUAUAAGCAGGCAACACCACGAAUAG